CACGCCGUAAACGAUGAGUGCUAGGUGUUGGGGCCGACAGGUUUCAGUGCCGCAGUUAACACAUUAAGCACUCCGCCUGGGGAGUACGAUCGCAAGAUUGAAACUCAAAGGAAUUGACGGGGGCCCGCACAAGCAGCGGAGCAUGUGGUUUAAUUCGAAGCAACGCGAAGAACCUUACCAGGACUUGACAUCCCACAGACAGCCUUAGAGAUAAGGCCUUCCCUUCGGGGACUGUGGUGACAGGUGG
rnacentral:rRNA from 1 species